UAAUUAAAUCAUGUUAACUUUGCCAUUGUUAUAAGUUAUGUUGAACAUUUAAUGAAUAUUAGUUAAGCAUUAGAAAUAUUUAGUUCUAAUACAAUUAUUGUUAUAUCAAAACGCUUGUUGAUAUUCCAUUUAAAAUAUUACAAAAGGUUAUUUUUAGAAUGGUGAAUAAGCGAUAAUCACUGAUAAUAAAUAUUCACCUGACAAAACAUCACUGUAAACAUAAUAUUACAUGUUCUCUAACCUAGAAUUUGUAAAUUAAUUUAAACUUAAAAUCAUGAUUUCCUAUUUUGUUUGCUUUGUUAAUUUGGGGUGUAAUCAUAUAAGUUUAAGUAUUAUAAUUUUUAAAAUGUGGUAAUACAGCAGUUCUACUUUAGUCAUGGAAAUCAAUACUAACUUUAUUAAGAUUCUUAUAUAUCUGUAACUUGUACAUUUUUUAAAUUAUAGUAUUCAACUAUUACUUUUAGUUUUUUUGGCUGUUACACUUUUAUUCUAAAUAAAAAUAGGUGAUUUUUAAAUAAUUAUAUUUGUCACAUAUAUAUAAAUAUAUAAUAUAUAUGUCAGAGUAUAAAAAUUUGGAUGGAAUUAUCAAUGUAGGAAGUGUUUUAAAUAGUAAUAAAAGUGAUGAUAGUGUAAAUGUGUAAACUAAUUCUAAUAAAUUUUCUUCAUAUUCAUCUCUAACUAAAUCAAAUUUCAAGUAUGGAACAUAUAAACCAAUAGAAUGGACUUUGCAAUCUAUUAUGAGCUUGAUGUAUUCAACUAAUGAUGGUCGUUUUAUUUUGACUGAUGCAAAAGUAAACCAUGAACAUUUAUCUAAUGAUGCUCAAAAUACACUUACGAGACUUAAUAAAUUAUUUAUUUAAAGACAAAGCUCGAAAGUAUAUUUUAUACUAACAAGUCAAAAUAAUUCCAUGCAACAGAAANACUAA